rnacentral:rRNA from 1 species
UACGUAGGGUGCGAGCGUUGUCCGGAAUCACUGGGCGUAAAGGGCGCGUAGGCGGCCUGAUAAGUAGGGGGUGAAAUCCUGCGGCUUAACCGCAGGGCUGCCUUCUAAACUGUCAGGCUUGAGCACAGUAGAGGCAGGUGGAAUUCCCGGUGUAGCGGUGGAAUGCGUAGAGAUCGGGAAGAACAUCAGUGGCGAAGGCGGCCUGCUGGGCUGUUGCUGACGCUGAGGCGCGACAGCGUGGGGAGCAAACAGG